rnacentral:lncRNA from 1 species
AAAAAAGCCGUCUCCAUGGAAGCGGCCCUUCCGCUCGGAGCCCGGCGGCCUGGAGGGAGACCCGGCGGGGAUGCGAGGAUUCCGCCCCAGCCCCAGAGGACGCGGCGGAGAGCCUGGAGGAGGCGCUUUGAGAGUCGAGGUCUCCCGCCCGCGCGCCUCCCUGGCGCAGACCUCUUUUAACUUUUUGGCGUGGAGUGCGCGUCCUGACGUGCCCCCUGAGCUACAGCUUACUGAGCUUUACUGGCUUCGCCGGACAGCCGUCCCCAGGUGGAGAGACAGCGCGUCGCGCGCUGCCCGGGCCCCGCAGGGCCUGGCGCCUGGGGCCCUUGCGCCGCUUUGGGGCGAGGGGAUCACACCGCGGGCUCCCGGAGCUUAGCGUCUUCCACGCGGCGCUGUGUGUCAUCCACGCAGUGUGCUCUCGCUGCCGUGUUCAGGUCACUGCGAGGGUGAGCCCCGCUUUAUCUACCCCUUCUGCUGUUGAUGGGCACUCGUCUGGGGCUAGAAGGGAUAAGGUUGCUGUGAGCGUUCUCGUGUGUUUUUGGUGCACGCGCACACACAUUUCUCUGGGGUGCAGACCUGUCUAGUAGUGGAACUGCCGUUUCCCAGCACUUUGGAGCAAAGCCCUGUUGCAGUCUGAAGCGGAAAAGGCAGACGGGCCUUCCAUGUUCGUGAUUCCAGCCAGGCACAGAAGGGAAGGACAGGGACAGCAGCCGCGCGGAGGCGAGGAGGGACACUGGGCGCUGCUGUCCCCUCUCAGGGGCAGCCACUCCUCUUGUGGACGCAGGUGUGGUCACCAGAAGGGAAGGACAGCAGAGGACUCUUCAGGGACCUUCCUGGAUCCCCCUGCAAUGGGAGUGGCCUACUUGCUUGACUUGAGGGUGAGACUUGGUCAGCCCUUGACUGUAGGGGGCAGGACCAUGGGCUUCAGUGGGGCAGCACCCAUGACCCACGCCUCUGCUUCCAUUCCCUGCUUACUGCCCGGGCCUCUGGGCAGGGGAGUCUAGUCUCCCUUCCCAGGCUUCCAAUGCCUCGCCCCCUGCUGUGGUAAGGAUUCGCGCUGGUCCCUAUUUAUUAAUCAGGGAACUUGGGGUUCCAGUUUUCUCCCCUUCUCUGCAUCUCAUCCCCUUGAGAGCCCCCUGGAGCAGAGGAUAACGCACGAGGGGACUGGCUGUGUAUAUUUUGAUAACAAUAUCAAAAUACUGUCAAAUACUAAACGGAAAAGAAAUAGGAAAACAUUGAACUUUAUUAAAAUGAACUUCAAAAGACACCAUUAAGAGUAAAAAGAUGACUCACAAAAAAGUUGCCUUUUGUUCAGUAAACGACUCAGGACCAGAAAAUAUGAAGACCCCUACAACAAGAAAAAUAUAGAUAGCUCAGUUAAAAAUUGACAAAAGACUUGAAAAGAUAUUUCACAAAAGGAGAGAUCCAGACAGUCAAUCCACACACGAAAGGGUACUUAGCAUCAGGGAACUGCAAAUAGUGACAUUCGAUUCCAUAUCACAGCCACUGGAUGGCUAAAAUAGCAACGCCAAGUGCUGAUGAGACUGUGGAACAACCAGCUGGGCUCUCAUACCCUGCUGAUGGGAGAGUGGAUUGGAGCAACCACGUGGAAACAUCUAAUGGAGGUAAGCAAACGCCUGCCAUAGGAACCAGCGUGUAUAUCCAAGGGAACCGAGUGCUAGGUUCCUGAUCAUGGUCAAGAUCGCCUACAGCAAAUUUACUUAUUUAUUUUAAUCCCCCAACAAAUGUCUUUAAUGUCUUUAGAAAGAUUAAUUAAAUGGUAGUAUUUUAAGAAUGCAAUGGUAUACUGCACAGCAACAAAAAAAUAACAAACUGCUAAUACUUGCAGCAACAUGGAUAAAUCUCAAAGUAUUGAAUGCAAAGCUACAAUAGAGUGCAUAACUAAGGAUUCCAUUAUAUAAAAUACAAAAUCCAGGCAAGACUGAUCUACAGUGUUAGAGGUCAGGAGAGAAUUUUGGAGGUAGUUGCUUGGGCACCGGGAUACUGCGUGGGGAGCUGUGAGUGCUGCAUAUCUUUAGCUGCGUCCUGCUUGGAGUGCAUACUCUGUGAAAAUUCAUCAACCUGUGCACUUAAGACUUGUGUACUUACAUUAUCUUUCAGGAAAAAGAAAAGAAAAGUAUGCCAAACUUUACCCUUCACCUUUCUUCUCAAAAUGGUCAGGUUUCAGAGCUGUGGUAGAAACUUCUAGUACUGACAACAGCCAGUACCUCCCCGCUUGGCAGCUGAGACUAUGGGACCAGUUCUGGCCAAUGGAAUGUGAGGGGAAAUGACGGAUGUCAAUUCCAGGCUGAAGCUUUUAGUUGCCAGAGCCAGGUCCUCCAGUCCUACCUUUCCACUGUGGCAGUCCCUCUGAAGUCCCAAGAUCAAGAGCUGACAGCUGAAUCCUUGCAUGGAGAGUCGCCUGGACCUGCAGUGGACUCUGGAUGAGGGAGUAUACACCCCUCUCCUGAGAUGGCAAACAGGAGGUCUGGAUCAAUCCUACAGUGUCGGCAAAUGUCUGGAUUACCCUGCAAGUUCAGACCAGUGAGGAUCCUUCAGCCACUGGGGGAAAGGCUCUGCUGACACAGCAACAGCGAGCAGGGGGCGCCAGCCAGCCAGCUGGCCGUGCAGUGUUCCAGCGGCAGGCGUAGUUUUCUCCCACCUCUCAUGGACAUUGAGUGCACCUUGUGUAUGCUAUGGACAUGCCCAGCCGCUGGAGAUGGGAGGGGAGGGGGUAAGAAGGGAAGCCACUGUGCCGUGACCCUGAGGCCAUUGAGGUGGGGUUUGGUGUCUCACCAAACGGAAGCCACAUUGUUCUGAAUUGCACCUCUGAUGGCUAGGCCAAAUGCUCAUUCUGUUUAACAUCAUUGCUGCAGUCUGUAGCAAAACCCUUAACGUUACAAAGGAAGAGAUAGAGCCACUUCAAACCGUGAAAGGAGAAGAGAUACCACAGUUAAGUCCGCCUGUCUUGGCCAACGGAGUUCAGUCUUUGGGCUUUCCAGCAACAAAAGAUGCCUUCAGUUGCCCCAGGGUUUUACUCCAGUCCCCGGCAACAGCUAGAUCUCCAUGAAGGGAAACAGCCAAUAUUUUUUUUACUUGCAGGAAAGGGAGGCAUGACAGCUCCACAUCUGUGUUCACCCUUGUGGAUCCCAGGUGAGACUCCAGAUGAAAUGGGAGAGUUCUCUGACCCCCUCACAGGACAUGUGACAGGAGUGUGGCUAGUCUGUUCAGCCUCCACCACUGCUGAAACACCUUAUGGGAGGGGGAGCAUGCAGAUGGGCAAGCGCAGGUGCCAGGGCCAGCGCUUUUGGGCUUCAACCCCAUGGUGGCAUCUAGGGGUGUGUGUCUGUGACUCCUGAAGCCCCAGUGUGUGUGCUCCAGUGCUCUUUUAGCUCUGCUGUCUGUCAGGCCUCUGAGCCCAA